CCUACGGGCGGCAGCAGUGGGGAAUAUUGGGCAAUGGAGGAAACUCUGACCCAGCAACGCCGCGUGAAUGAUGAAGGUCUUCGGAUUGUAAAGUUCUUUUCUAAGGAAGAAGAAAGUGACGGGACCUGAGGAAUAAGCCUCGGCUAACUACGGGCCAGCAGCCGCGGUAAUACGUAGGAGGCGAGCGUUCUCCGGAAGGACUGGGCGGAAAGGGUGCGUAGGUGGUUUGGCAAGUUAGUAGCGGAACUCCCCGGCUCAACCUUGGAACUACGACUAAAACUGUUGGACUUGAGUGCAGGAGGGGCAACCGGAAUUCCUAGUGUAGCUGUGUCAUGCGUAGAUAUUAGGAGGACCACCAGUGGCGAAGGCGUGUUGCUAGACUGUAACUGACACUGAGGCAC
rnacentral:rRNA from 1 species